ensembl:lncRNA
CGCCCCCCCGUGCAGUUUAAAAUAAAUCCAACAGGGGCCGUGUUUGCUGAGCUGAUGUGCCCGGCUGAUACAGAUAGCGGCGGCGAGCCGCCCGCUUCUGUGGAAAAAGACUAUUUUAAGUGUCAUAAUUAAGUUUAGAAGCCUUGUUUGGGCUCAUUCACUGCUCGAAAUAAAAAGGACUGGCUGCUUUUAGACCCUUUCUGAAGGGGUUGGCUAAGCGCCUCUGCACGUUCGCUUGGAGAAGAAUGUUUUCUUUCCUAGUUUAAUAUUAGAAACUAUAUUUUUACUUGUUUAAACCGGAUUUGAUUAUUCUUGUGGAGAUUUCUUCUCUCUCUCUUCCCCCCCCCCUUCUAUCGCUCAAAUCUUUGUUCAUUGUUCAUUGACUGUGGAAGGCUGCUUAAAUGUACGGAGAGAGGGGGGAGGCCCCCUCGGUGGUUUGAUGUUGAAAUAGUAAACCUGAAUGAGGAGGGUGGCUGGAAAAGUGGACAUUGCAGCUUUAAUUAACUUCAAGAUGCUUCAGCGAGGACCAGAGCGUAGUAGUGACGUUGCCUCAUAAAUCUGUCCAGUACAGUGCGUUGCAUUGAACUAUUACAGUAUCACCAUCAUAUUGAAUAUUCACUACCUAUCCGGGAGCAGAUUUGCAUAAUUGGAUCUUUUUUAAAUGAAACUUGUUUGCAAAAACCCAAACAAAACCAAAAAACAAAAGCCCAAGUGAAAACCGCGGCGAUCUGCAUGAUUAUAAAGGGUUCAAACAUAUCCGAAAAAACGUGCACUAGAAGAGUCUCGGUACAGUUGCUAAACCCUGCGACUGGGUGCACAUUCUCAUGUCUGCUCUGUCUUCAGAUUUUGCUCCUGACUCUGAAUUUCUAUUCCUGCAGGUAAAUGAGAUUUAAUAUGAUGGGGUUUUUAAAGUGCCAGUGACUUAAACUUUGUUUUCAUGUGCUGUUACGAUGAUGACAAUUAACAAUUGCAGAUGUAAGAAAGGUCAGCUUCUCUGUUACUUUUGCAGGGAAUGAAUGUGAAGUAU